AUUGAACGCUAGCGGGAUGCUUUACACAUGCAAGUCGAACGAGUGGCGGACGGGUGAGUAAUACGUGGGUAACCUGCCCUCCUUUUUGGGAUAAGCCUUGGAAACGGGGUCUAAUACCGAAUAAAGGGGGAUGGGCUCGCGGCCUAUCAGCUUGUUGGUGGGGUGAUGGCCUACCAAGGCGGUGACGGGUAGCCGGCCUGAGAGGGUGACCGGCAACAUUGGGACUGAGAUACGGCCCAGACGCCUACGGGAGGCAGCAGUGGGGGAUAUUGCACAAUGGGCGAAAGCCUGAUGCAGCGACGCCGCGUGGGGGAUGAAGGCCUUCGGGUUGUAAAGUACUUUUGGCAGAGAAGCGGUAUCUGCAGAAUAAGCACCGGCUAACUACGUGCCAGCAGCCGCGGUAAUAC
rnacentral:rRNA from 1 species